CUGCAGGUGUCUGAAUGGAAGACAUUGUGAUGUGGUGACAGAAGCAUGUGACUGUCCUCCUGGGUUCAUUGGAGCAGACUGUAGUAAAUAAUAUGCCCUGGGAAAAUAUGGCUCUGACUGUCAGCUAGACUGUGCUUGUCAGAAUAAUGGAAUUUGCAACAGAUUUACUGGCUGCUGCCAGUGCACAGAAGGUUAUUAUGGACAUUCCUGCGAACAUGAGUGCCCCCCUGGAUUUUAUGGUCUUAAUUACCAAUACCCAUGCAAUUGUGAAAAUGGAGCAAUGUGCCAUGCAGCAACUGGGCAGUGCGUUUGUCCUCCAGGUUUCCAAGGCAUGACAUGUGAAAAAAGUUGCCCUCCUGGAAUAUUCGGUGUAAAUUCUCAGUAUCAGUGCGAAUGCGAAGGAUCAGCUCAGUGUGAUUCAGUCUCUGGAAAAUGCCUUUGCUCAUCUGGAAGAACUGGAGACAGGUGUGAAGUUGAGUGCAGACCUGACAAAUAUGGCCCUGGUUGAGCUCAGCAAUGCCAAUGUGCCAAUGAAUUACAAUGCAGUGCACGGAAU